rnacentral:lncRNA from 1 species
UCUUUCUCUGUAACUCUCUCUUACUAUUUUGUGCUAAUACUUAUUUCUUUCCUCUCAUUCAAGGACCUCUCACUGGCCAGGUGAGAGGGUAGGAGCUCAGUAACUCUUUGUGAAUAGAGAGAAAAGAAAAGAAUUAAAAUAUUUUACACAGGCAAACACACACAUGUGCAUGCACACACACACACACACACACACACACACACAUACACAUAUAUAUGCAUACACAUUCUGGUCAGGCCCAAUCACCCGUCUCAUCAACUCCACAAGUGUUCAUGCAUACUUACAUACACGUAUCUAUACUUACAUAUAUAUAGUGAGUGGCACAAAAAAAAGCCCACAAACAAGUUCCAUUGAACAAGCACCAGAGCAGAAAGAACUCACUCAUUCUGGUUGAAAAAGAACCAGAGAAAGACAAAUAUUUAUUGCUCAGAGAAGGAAAAAGCUUCUACCUUUUUAUUGCUGUAAGUAAUAAAAAAAAAAAG